GUAGGUGAACCUGCGGAAGGAUCAUCAUUGAAUCUAUUCUUACAAACCUUUGUGAACCGUAUGUGUAAGAGCUUGUUGGUGGGAAGGAUGUCGCCCAGAGGAAUCUCUUUGUGGAAUCCUCGGCGCGCCGCGUCUUGGCUCUCGGGCCGGGUGCCCGCCAGCUUGCUCGCAUUUUAACAAACUUUUAAAACAUCCACUGAUAAAAUUUUUUUAAUAAAAACAACUUUCAACAAUGGAUCUCUUGGUUCUC
rnacentral:misc_RNA from 1 species